GAUGUUGGGUUAAGUCCCGCAACGAGCGCAACCCUUGUCUUUAGUUGCCAUCAUUAAGUUGGGCACUCUAGAGAGACUGCCAGGGAUAACCUGGAGGAAGGUGGGGAUGACGUCAAAUCAUCAUGCCCCUUAUGCUUAGGGCUACACACGUGCUACAAUGGGUAGUACAGAGGGUUGCCAAGCCGUAAGGUGGAGCUAAUCCCUUAAAGCUACUCUCAGUUCGGAUUGUAGGCUGAAACUCGCCUACAUGAAGCUGGAGUUACUAGUAAUCGCAGAUCAGAAUGUUGCGGUGAAUGCGUUCCCGGGUCUUGUACACACCGCCCGUCACACCACGGGAGUUGGAGACGCCCGAAGCCGAUUAUCUAACCUUUUGGAAGAAGUCGUCGAAGGGGGAAUCAAUAACUGGGGUGAAGUCGUAACAAGGUAGCCGUAUCGGAAGGUGCGGCUGGAUCACCUCCUUUCUAAGGA
rnacentral:rRNA from 1 species